UAAAGGCGCAGUGACUGACGACGAUAGUGGAAGAAACCACAGUGGAGCUGCGUGCAUAUAUAGCCGGUCGUCUGGGCAGCCAGC
rnacentral:ncRNA from 17 species